UCGAAUCGCAUCAACUUGAUACCAAAGCGCCGCCGGUAACGUCACCGCGCGAUCCCGGCCGGACCUCGAGCGGGAACUGCGGGAAGCGGAAGCCUGGCGUUCGAGAGGCGAUCUGACAGUCGUGGAACAACAACAAACACCACUUAAUUGCUACUACCGCCUAAUUGACAUCAUCGAUGCGCGGCGCCUCGGUAAGCGAAACGAUGAAACACCCGGAUGAACAGCGCGCCAAUAACUACGGCGCCGGUCGACUCUCGAGAUUGUCGCGGCAACCGACGCGGCGUCGGUUAGCGAGAUGUUACGCGCGAUCGCACACGCUUACCCUCUAACCUACACGACGACGAUCGACGCUGUGAUUUGACGCGCCACGACGUUCGCCCGCAGUUCGCCGUGUCGCUUGCCUCGUCGCUCCUGACACGCGUUGGGUCUGCGUGGAGCCCGAGCUCCGAUCGGGUGAAGUGGCGAACGUUGAACGCGGGUUUUGCCGUCGUCUCGCGACGAAACGCGACGAAACGCGACUGGCGACGAGACGUCAGUGACGUCACGAGACAUCGACGAGGGGUAGCGAGGCGUGGCGAAGUGAGACGAGAGUGACCGACAACAACUUGCCGAAGGUGACACCGUGCGAGUCGGACGAAAAACCGCUCGCGGCCCCGCGUCGCGUGCAAGUGUAUCGUAAUAAGAAUCGCGACAACCGCCUACGUGUUGCGCGCUCAACGUAGCGCUCGCUCGGGACAUAAUAACCGAUCACCGCCGCGUGUCUUAAUGCGAUUAAUACAUCAAACGCGCUCGGCUGUUCGAACGAUGUUCUCGAUGCUCAAUUAGGCACACGAUGCAUCCCUCACGGCGGUGAGUGACGGCGCGAUGCGAUGCGAUGCGAUGCGAUGGUGAUGCGCCGCUCACGUUCCCGUCCAUCGGAUAAUUAAUCUCAUUUCGCUCGGUAAUCGUUAAUUUUCUUUUUACUCCCUCUGUUGUUUUUGCACGCGGUGCGUAACAGUGCGAACGGCGACGAUUAUAAAUGGUGAAUUGGCUUUUUCGACGAAUGCCGCGGAUUUGGCAAAACGCAUUUCGCUACGUAUUAUAGGUUAAUUUCGGAUAUUUAGAAGCCGAAACGGGAGCACAUUCGCGUGGACGAACAAACAUUGAGAGUGCAGGUGUAACAUCUGGGGACUGGAGCUCUUCGACAUUUGUCUUUCUACGUUUCUUCGUCGACAAGGUUA